UUAACCUUUGGUGACGUCAUGGAGAAUUCGCGCUGUUACCUUGAGAGUCAGACCGACACAUGCCGGAGUGGAAGCAGAACUGCGGGCGGCGGAAGGACAUAUGGCUUACGGAGAAUUUCUUUGAUUUGGGCGUCAUGUCAAAGAAGAGUUCAAAAGGAUCACAUGAGUGCAUCUGGAGCAAAACUUUUUGACACAGCUUGAUCCGUACACUCCCAAACUGCGGGAGAUGUUUAGGACAAAAGGCGGGGUUGCAGGACCAAAACAUAAGGCCUAUAUGCUGCAUUCACUCAGUCAGGAUGUCGGUAAAGACGGACUCAAAGAGGACUCUGCUGAAUAUCUCAUGAAGAUCUGUGUCCUCCAUGGAAGUGCAGGCUCCACCCUUGAAGGCCCCACCCCAUCAUCAAGGGAAUUGAGGUUCUUGAUGAUUGUAGAUCUGUGACAAACACUUGCCUUCUGCUCAUGGGCUUUAUCUAUGCACUGAACUUAAGUUUGAAGUGUUUCAGAAGCUCUUUCUUGAGCUUGAUUUCCUGAAGUUGUCUCCCAAAGUUCAGUCUUUGCGCAACAAACUUCGUAGCGCGAGUGUGUGCACGUAUGUUUCUGAUAUAUUUUUUUUUAACUUGAAGUUCAGAGGAAAUACUACUUCGUACAACUGCAUUUUGUAUAAUAUUCUGAUGAUGUUCUCAAACAUCAUCACUGGGGAUGUGGAGAUAUAGCAGAACGCGUGGUUAAAACAAGUAAACCUAAAAGAAAAUGCACUUGGUUCCUGGAAAUCUAUUUCACUUAGUUACUUUUUGGCAGCACCAAUAUAGGUGCAGAGUUUUCUAUGGGAAGCACCAGACUGUAUUAUGAAAAGCAUAAUAAAGGUGCUGUUGUUUAACAGUA